UACGGGGGGGGCAAGCGUUGUUCGGAAUUACUGGGCGUAAAGGGCGCGUAGGCGGCUUUUCAAGUCGGGCGUGAAAUCUCCGGGCUUAACCCGGAAGGGUCGUUCGAUACUGUUGAGCUAGAGUGAGGAAGAGGCAACUAGAAUUCCGUGUGUAGCGGUGAAAUGCGUAGAUAUACGGAGGAAUACCUGAGGCGAAGGCGGGUUGCUGGGCCAACACUGACGCUGAGGCGCGAAAGCCAGGGGAGCAAACGGG
rnacentral:rRNA from 1 species